GGGUGGGGUGGGGUUUGCUAAUGAUUACAAAUGUCUUGAGCCAUUUCUCAGCAUAUUCAGAUGACAUCCAUCAUGAAAAUAUGUUACUUUAAAAUAGAAUUAAUCUUUAUCUAAAUAUAUAAAGAGGGCGAUGAAUGAAACCUCUCGUGAUUGUGAAUUGUACCAACAACAACACUGGCACUGGCAAAGUAUUUCACAGUGAUACACACUUAAUGAUAACAAUAAUACUAAUCAUCAUAAUCAUAAUUCUGAUCAUAAUAAAAAAGCUCUCUGUCAGUUGGUGGUUGUCACUCCCUUGCUCUGAAGAAAAGUUUGGUUUGCAACAAUAAAUGACAAGUGAUGUCAGAGCCAUGGGCAAUGAGGCAGUAGCUGAAAUACCUCCUCAAAAGAGCCUGAUAAAAGCAAUCAGAAUGUCCUCAUAACCAGGCCAUGGUGCUAUUACUGCUGGCCUCGAUGUAAGAGUAUGUCUCAGAAUAGCAUUUAGUUGUUUACCUAUUUCCAAUGUAGGACUGAUUAUUAGGCCUUGACACAAUUUUUAAAAACCUACAGCGAAUCUUCAUGGCCAGUUUCUGCUGACAUACAUUUUGAACAAAGCAUUGCUGCCCUUGCAAAGCUAUUGUUCCAACUUGGAACUGGAUGUGUCACCGAACAUUCUGUAUGUCAAAGAAAUCUGAAGGAGUGGGAUCACUGAUGAGGGUCAUUCUACUAUACAGGGGGUCCUCCCAUGCACAAAGCAUUUCCGCAGAUUGCGUUUGCCUGCCUUGUUUUUUGGUUUUAUGAAUGAAAGGCAAUUUAAUGAAUUAGAAAACAGGUGUAUAUUUUCAAUACAAACAAUGAAUUCACUCAAACUUACUAAGCAGCUUAGAUAGUAACUUUUAAAAGUUUACUAUUGUAAAAGCAAAGCAAAGUGUACUGUAAUAAAGCAUAGUGAAAGCAUAGCAAAACAUAGGUAUGCAUUGUAAAGAAUAGUGAGGUAUGGUAAAGCAUAUUAAAAAACACGGCAAACCAGGCUAUACUAAGGUAAAUGCAUAGUAUAGCCAUGGGAAAAGCGUGAGAAAACUGCAAAAAUUCUGUGCAAAAACACCUUGGUAAAAUUUUAUAAGGGGUAAGCUUGCAUAAAUCCUAUCAGUAUACACAGCAUACAAUUGAAACAUUACAACUGAAGCACUCAAGAAGGAGUUUGCAGAUUCAUUUUGCAGAGCAGAUUAUUGGAAUGAAGGCUGUUGCUUUGUUUCAGGCUGAUAUGUCUGCAGUGCCAGAAGAAGCCAGUCCACUCUAGCAGCUCUGCGUUCAUCACCAUCUACAGCUUUCUGGGGAACAUGUGCAACACCCUGGGAGCCCUCUUAGCAAAACAGCUCACUGUACAGGUCUACCAGAGCCUACUUGACCGCUGUAGACAUUCUUUACUUCAUCCUCAUUUUCUUCCCUGUCUGUAAAUGAGAGACUUCAACCAGUGGAGGAAGCAGGAAGAAACUCAAGAAGAGGAGGAGGAAGAGGAAUGUGUUUGCCGUCACACUGCCCCUUGCUGUGGGAUCAGGGUACUACAUCUCAAAGAACACAUUUCAAAGCAAGCCCUUUGAGAACGAUUUUCACAGGACCGGGAGACGCCUGCUAACCACAUUUCUGCAGGAUAACACAGAAAUCCUGGGCUAUGCACUGGGCUUGGUGGGGUUCAUCAUCUGCUGGACGGCUAAGUUUUCUCACAUCUCCAGAGCAUGGGACUUUGAAGACGUGACUGAAGAUUGGAGCAAAGAUAAGAGGCCACAGAACGUGGGUGUGUCCCAGGAGGUCUUCCCCAUCCAGGACUGGACAAGCCUGCCCCUGGACAACUCUGUCAUCCAAACAGAAUCUGACUUCUGGUUCUGUCAUGGAAAUGUCGAAAUGACGGAGGCGAGAGCUGCUGCCAUCUUGGCUGACUAUGAGAGGGAGAAUCGAAGAAGUGGAAAAUGAAGGGGAGGGGUGGAGGGGGGGUUCUAGUUUUAUACAUAAAUAAGACAUGCAUCCCGAAUGUGUCCUUCAUGGAGAGAAGAGGACCAAGGUGUACAAUUUUAGCUUUCAGCUUGUUAGCCAAAUGACUGUGACAAGCCAUUUAAUAGAAGUGCUGGGACUCCCUAGCUGGCUCACGGAUUUAAAGUGCUCUGGAAUAGGAUUUAUUCCGGCAACCUGUUUCAUUUAACAGGGACCUAUCGUAUUGGUGACUGGGAGGAACUGGUUUUGACUUUCAAGGCUUUUUUAUUAUUUUGUAAAAAAAAAAAAAAGGCUACAGUGGGUUUAAGUGUCAGUUGAUGCACUUUAAAAAACAUAGUUUUGAUGCCUGGAUGGUAUGCAAAGAGAGACUGUAGGAAUGGAAUUAAGACUCCUAUUGCAUAGCAGUUUCACCCAUUUCAGGUUUUAAUAUGUACUUGCUUAGCCGCAGUGUGUAGGUAACAAGCUCAGGUGUGUCUUAUUAAACUCAUAGUAAAACCAGGAAUGGAUCAGACUGCUAUGCAGUGGGAGUCUUAGUUCCAUCCCUGUACUGUAGCACCAUAUACUAUAGCUGUGAAGUCAUUUAUCUGGGGACUUGUGUAGGAUUGAAUUACCUAGUAUAUGGCCUAGGCUUUAUAUUUCCUGCAUCUAUGACUGUGUUGUUUUUGGCUUUCCUUUUGUCACAGAAAUAAAACCAAAAUCUUUCAUCUAACUAACGCUGGUGAAUGGUCGAGUCCAGUGAUUCCUCCUGAAAGACCAUCAUCAAUAAUCACAAAUCAUGUGAAGAUGCAAAGGCAUGUACCAGGGGGAAUUGGAGCUUUCUCAUUUGAGCCACAGCAAGCACUUUGAUGAGCUGAAACAAACAAGACUUUCUAUCUAAGGGUUCAGAGAUUAGGGCCCACUUUUUUUUCUUUUCUUUUUUCCUUGCUCCAUACUCAGCACUUUGUAAAAACAUUGUGUCCUUAUUUCCUUUGUUUUUAUGCACCAUACUAAAUAAUAAGUUCCCAAUAGAACUGUCUUGAUUGGGACCGGUUCCCUGACCUACUGUAUCAGAGGGUCGUUAGUUUGCUUCCUUUGGACCAGCAGUCUGCUUUGUUAUCAGCUCCCCGACAGAGAGCUUUCAUCUCGUCAUGUCAAUCCUGAGUCUGAUGAGAGCCGAGCCAGUCCCUCCAUUACAGGGGCCCUCGCCCUCAUCAAUUAGUGCUGUUUAAAAUCUCCCUAAAAACAUUAAGAAUAGAAAAGAAAAGCUAUUUAGAUCCAUGGCUGGCCUUUGAUCUCGUGGUGCCAAUGAGAUGUCGGAGCAAUAUUGAAUAUUCUAAGUGAUGGGCAGUUAAUGAACUUCCUUUCCUGUGAUAUAUGGACAAUGUGCAGAUUAAAAGUACAAUGUAGAGGAAAUUCUUUUCCUCAAUUGCAUUUCCUAGAAUGAUUAAUUUUUUUUUUUACAUAAAACUAUGGUAAAUGCAAAUUUUACAGUUUCUGCUGUCUCUCUGAAAAAAAAAGUUAAUUCCAGUUACCAGUAAGUGCAUAAUUAUCCUAAGCAAAUUUA